rnacentral:rRNA from 1 species
UCAAGCUGGAAAGAGCGCAAGGGGAAUGCCUUGGCAUCAGGAGCCGAAGAAGGACGUGACAAGCUGCGAAAAGCCUCGGGGAGGAGCAAAUAUCCAUUGAUCCGGGGAUAUCCGAAUGGGGCAACCCGGCUGGACAAUAUCCAGUCAUCCUGCGUUGAACAAAAUAGGCGUAGGAAGGGAACCGCCUGAACUGAAACAUCUAAGUAGGGCGAGGAAGAGACAUCAACCGAGAUUCCGCAAGUAGUGGCGAGCGAACGCGGAAGAGGCCAAACCGAGGGAUUUAUUCCUCGGGGUUGCGGACAGUCAUUUAGCGGAAGUUAUCUAGGAGAAGGGUCUGGGAAGGCCCGCCACAGAGGGUGAGAGCCCCGUAUCCGAAAGAGAAGGCCGUGCGACUGAAUCCAGAGUACCGCGGGACACGUGAAACCCCGUGGGAAACAGGGGGGACCACCCUCCAAGCCUAAAUACUACCUGAUGACCGAUAGAGGAGCAGUACCGUGAGGGAAAGGUGAAAAGGACCCCGGGAGGGGAGUGAAAGAGAACCUGAAACCUUGUGCUUACAAGCACUCAAAGCCCGUUAAAGGGUGAUGAGGUACCUUUUGUAGAAUGGUCCGGCGAGUUAUUGUUACUGGCAAGCUUAAGGCAUUCAGUGCCGGAGGCGCAGGGAGACCGAGUCUGAAUAGGGCGUAUGAAGUCAGUGGCAAUAGACCCGAAACCGGGUGACCUAUCCAUGGGCAGGUUGAAGUGGGGGUAAAACCCCAUGGAGGACCGAACCGACCCCCGUUGCAAUGGUGGCGGAUGACCUGUGGAUAGCGGAGAAAUUCUAAUCGAACUUGGAGAUAGCUGGUUCUCCCCGAAAUAGCUUUAGGGCUAGCGUUGAUUUAGAUUACCGGAGGUAAAGCACUGAAUGGGCUAGGGGCUGAUAAAGUUACUGAACCCUAUCAAACUAAGAAUGCCGGCAAAUUGAUGAUCAGCAGUCAGACUACGUGAGAUAAGUCUCGUGGUCAAAAGGGAAACAGCCCAGACCCACAGCUAAGGUCCCAAAUAUACGCUAAGUGGAAAACGAUGUGGAAUCGCGAAAACAACCAGGAUGUUGGCUUAGAAGCAGCCACUCAUUAAAAGAGUGCGUAAUAGCUCACUGGUCGAGUGACUCUGCGCGGAAAAUAUAACGGGGCUAAGCGUAACACCGAAGCUUGGGCUGCACAGCAAUGUGCGGGGUAGGGGAGCGUCGAAUAUGGGGUGAAGUCGCAGCGGAAGCAGCGGUGGACUGUAUUCGAGUGAGAAUGCCGGAAUGAGUAGCGAGAAUUAUGUGGGAAUCAUAAUGGCCGAAAAUCUAAGGUUUCUUGGGGAAGGUUCGUCCGCCCAAGGUAAGCCGGGAGCUAAGGCGAGGCCGAAAGGCGUAGUCGAUGCACAUACGGUUGAAAUUCCGUAGCCGCCGAAAUUGUUAAGCACAGGGACACAUAGAGAUAUCCGAACCCGGGCGUUGGUUGACCCGGGCGCAAGGGACCGAACAUCAGUAGGGAAGUCGGAGAUGCUCUGUGGCGAGAAAAGCUGUGUGUAUUGAUUAGGCGCCCGUACCGCAAACCGACACAGGUAGAUGAGGAGAGAAUCCUAAGGCCAACGGGAGAAGGGUUGUUAAGGAACUCGGCAAAUUGACCCCGUAACUUCGGGAGAAGGGGUGCUCCAGCGAUGGAGCCGCAGAGAAUCGGCCCAAGCAACUGUUUACCAAAAACACAGGUUUGUGCUAAAUCGAAAGAUGACGUAUACGAGCUGACGCCUGCCCGGUGCUGGAAGGUUAAGAGGAGAUGUGCAAGCAUUGAAUCGAAGCCCCAGUGAACGGCGGCCGUAACUAUAACGGUCCUAAGGUAGCGAAAUUCCUUGUCAGGUAAG